UGAUCCUGGCUCAGAACGAACGCUGGCGGCGUGCCUAACACAUGCAAGUCGAGCGCGAAAGUCACUUCGGUGAUGAGUAGAGCGGCGCACGGGUGAGUAACACGUGAAUAACCUACCUAUAAGCCUGGGAUAACCAUUGGAAACGAUGGCUAAUACCGGAUAAGCUCACACUUUCCAUGGAUCGAGUGAGAAAAGGCGGCCUCUUCUUGAAAGCUGUCACUUAUAGAUGGGUUCGCGUCCCAUUAGUUUGUUGGUGAGGUAAUGGCUCACCAAGACUUCGAUGGGUAGCUGGUCUUAGAGGAUGAUCAGUCACAUGGACACUGAGACACGGGUCCAACUCCUACGGGAGGCAGCAGUGGGGAAUAUUGCGCAAUGGAGGAAACUCUGACGCAGCAACGCCGCGUGGGUGAUGAAGGGUUUCGGCUCGUAAAGCCCUGUCCUGAAGGAAGACAAAGCACGGUUAAUAUCCGUGUGUAUAGGACGGUACUUCAGAAGAAAGCACCGGCUAACUCCGUGCCAGCAGCCGCGGUAAUACGGAGGGUGCGAGCGUUGUUCGGAAUUAUUGGGCGUAAAGCGGGUGCAGGCGGCCGCGUGUGUCUGAUGUGAAAGCCCUGGGCUUAACCCAGGAAGUGCAUUGGAAACUGCGUGGCUUGAAUCUCGGAGAGGGUGGUGGAAUUCCUGGUGUAGAGGUGAAAUUCGUAGAUAUCAGGAGGAACACCGGUGGCGAAGGCGACCACCUGGACGAUGAUUGACGCUCAGACCCGAAAGUGUGGGGAGCAAACAGGAUUAGAUACCCUGGUAGUCCACACCGUAAACGAUGGAUACUAGUUGCAGCGGGAGCUGACACCUGCUGUGACGUAGCUAACGCGUUAAGUAUCCCGCCUGGGGAGUACGUCGGCAACGAUGAAACUCAAAGGAAUUGACGGGGGCCCGCACAAGCGGUGGAACAUGUGGUUUAAUUCGACGCAACGCGCAGAACCUUACCCGGACUUGACAUCCUGAGAACCUUCUAGAGAUAGAGGGGUGCCUUCGGGGAGCUCAGUGACAGGUGCUGCAUGGCUGUCGUCAGCUCGUGUCGUGAGAUGUUGGGUUAAGUCCCGCAACGAGCGCAACCCCUGUUAGCAGUUGCUACCAACGUAGUGUUGGGCACUCUGCUGAGACUGCCGGUGUUAAACCGGAGGAAGGUGGGGAUGACGUCAAGUCCUCAUGGCCCUUACGUCCGGGGCUACACACGUGUUACAAUGGCAGGUACAAAGGGUCGCGAAGCUGUGAAGUGGAGCCAAUCCCAAAAAACCUGCCCCAGUUCGGAUAGGAGGCUGCAAUUCGCCUCCUUGAAGCCGGAAUCGCUAGUAAUCGCGCAUCAGAACGGCGCGGUGAAUACGUUCCCGGGCCUUGUACACACCGCCCGUNACACCACGAGAGUUGGCUCCACCUGAAGCCAGUGACCUAACCCGUAAGGGAGGAGCUGUCGAUGGUGGGGUUGGCGAUUGGGGUGAAGUCGUAACAAGGUA
rnacentral:rRNA from 1 species